AAAGGUUAAGAACCACUGCUUUAGAUGAUGAAGAGUAAAGCUGUGCUACAACCAUUGCUAAUGGUGAGUAUUGAUCUCCAAAGAUUGUUGGAGGCUUUGUCCUUCCAAUGGACAAAUCCAGGGCUCGUGUCUUCCCACUUCCCCUGUCCCUGCCCAAAAGGGUGGAGAAUUUUAGAAGACAUUUUUUGCACAGUUGUUGUUGAUGCAAAUGCAGGUACCAUCUCUUUCCUUAACAGAGAAGCAGGAAAGAACGGUGGCUUAUGAAUGGAGGAGGUGGAAGGAACGGUGGCUCCAUGAAUGGAGGAGGUGGAAGGAACGGUGGCUCCAUGAAUGGAGGAGGUGGAAGGAACGGUGGCUCCAUGAAUGGAGGAGGUGGAAGGAACGGUGGCUCCAUGAAUGGAGGAGGUGGAAGGAACGGUGGCUCCAUGAAUGGAGGAGGUGGAAGGAACGGUGGCUCCAUGAAUGGAGGAGGUGGAAGGAACGGUGGCUCCAUGAAUGGAGGAGGUGGAAGGAACGGUGGCUCCAUGAAUGGAGGAGGUGGAAGGAACGGUGGCUCCAUGAAUGGAGGAGGUGGAAGGAACGGUGGCUCCAUGAAUGGAGGAGGUGGAAGGAACGGUGACUCCAUGGACGGAGGAGGUGGAAGGAAUGGUGGCUCCAUGAACGGAGGAGGUGGAAAGAAUGGUGGCUCUGUGGAUGGAAGAGACUCAGACACUAGAGUGAUCGGAAGUUCAAGAUAUCCCUCCAAGGAGAAAAUGUCAAAAGAGACUGUCAGUUAUGUAGUCACAUAUUCUUAAUGAUUUAAAUAUAACAGAUAUAGUUGAGGACAACCACAGAAAGGGCUUUGCUGACCAGGUUUUCAGGUAAUGUGGGGCCACACUUCAUCUAGCUACUUAUAAAAUUCCACAGAAGGAUUCUAUAUUAGACAGACCCAUGCUGGAGCCAAGGUCCCUCCAAACCUAUCCCACCCAUGUCAACCCAUGUCAUACAAGCCACCUACCCUCUAGUCACAAGCUCUGUAUGAAAACGUAUCAUCAUCCUUAGCAGACAUCCAUUGAUCUCCUCAAUCCUUUCCCCUUCUCAUGUCUCAGGGUUUGAAGGAGGAACACGUUUGGCCAUCCCCUUUCUCUCUCUGCCCCCCACCAAACCAAGGACACAAUUGGACUGGACUGCAAUUCACCGAGUCCUGCCAGUACAGGAUUGAAUUCUUGAUUUUGGAAAUCCACACGUGAAACAUUCUCCCUGGGGAUGCUUAGCCGUUGUACAUAACAUUUUUUUAUACUCUAAAUGAUCUUGAUACUAUCUUCUAAUACUAUCUUUUUAAAUGCCAUGCUUCUUUAUAAUGGCUUGAUAUUUCAAUUGUGUAUUGAGACGUAUUUACUUCUUUUUAAAAAAUGAAAGCAGGAAAUUGACAGAGGUGCGGCGUUACCAGACUACACCAGGGGGCGUAAUGGUGAAGUGAACUGCUCAGAGAUGAAACCAAACAGACACUGUU
rnacentral:lncRNA from 1 species